GGGGGCAAGCGUUGUUCGGAAUUACUGGGCGUAAAGGGCUCGUAGGCGGCCAACUAAGUCAGACGUGAAAUCCCUCGGCUUAACCGGGGAACUGCAUCUGAUACUGGAUGGCUUGAGUUUGGGAGAGGGAUGCGGAAUUCCAGGUGUAGCGGUGAAAUGCGUAGAGAUCGGGAGGAACACCAGUGGCGAAGGCGGCUCACUGGUCCGGUACUGACGCUGAGGUGCGAAAGCGUGGGGAGCAAACAGG
rnacentral:rRNA from 1 species